CAGAGCCGGGGGCGGUGGGCCGAAGCCGGGGAGGAGCGGGGCACAGCUCUGCCCCCGGCACAGCGCGGACCGCCUUCGGACUCCCACGUGUGGAGGAAGAUGAUGGCAGUGAGAACAUCCCCGCACGCGGUGAGCCCCCCGGAUGGGCUGUCCGGAGAGGAUCCGUCCCUGCGAGAGCUCGGAGGGCCGCAGGCCCCCAUCUGAAGGGGCUGAGAUCAGACCCCAGUUCAGCCCCCAGCAAAGCAACGGAGACAGCGUGGACUCAGUGCUCAGAGGACCCCACAGAGUACGGUGCUGCUGCAGCUCCGGUGCCCAGCACAGAUCUGAGGGCACGAAGUGAGGCCGUGGUGUGCGGCAUCUGCAUGGAGCGGGUCUGUGAGAAGGCACUGCCGGAGGAGCGGCUCUUUGGGAUCCUCCCCAACUGCAGCCACGCGUUCUGCCUGGGCUGCAUCCGCACGUGGAGACGCAGCCGGGACUUCCCAAGCACAGUCAUCAAAGCCUGCCCGGAGUGCCGCCUUACCUCCGCCUACUACAUCCCCCACAAGUUCUGGGUCUCAGAUGGAGAUGAGAAGCAGCAGCUCAUCGAGAGCUUCAAGGCCCGGACGGGGAGAAUCAGGUGCAAAUUCUUCACCCGGAACCGCGGCCGCUGCCCGUUUGGGUCUGACUGCAUCUACCUGCAUGAGCUGCCCAGUGGGCCACCACCACCGCGGCGCAGCCAGCAGCACCUGAGGAUGCAUGCUGAGCGCAGCCCUUCUCCCUCGGAGAGCUCUGAUGAGGAAGAAGAAGUUGGGUUUGGGUUCCACCUGCUUGAAUGGACUGUGCUGGAGCUGGAGUUGCUGUACAGAAGUUAUACCCAUGAGCUGCUCUUUGAGGACAGCAGUGAUUCAGACUGAGCCAUGGGGCUCCCCUGGGUACUCGCUGGGUGCUCUUGGCUUCAAGGAAGCAUCUUCUGGGAAUGGAGUUAUCCACUUCUAAUGGUUUGAGCUGCUCCUGGCUUUGCUAUGGGGGGGGGUGGGGUGGCUGUGGGAGGGGGGAUGGGAUGGUCCGGCUGCUGCGUGCCUGGCUGGAGCCCGUGGAGCCCAGUGAUGCGGCGGGGGGUGCGGGGCGAUGGGGUUCAGCCUCUUCUGUUGCCCUCUGCACCUCUGAGAGACUGCGGGAGCCGGGAUGGGAAGGGAGGUUUUAACGCACAGAGGGCUGAGAGGAACGGGGAGCCGGGCUGCCCUGGGGCGCGGUUUUAAACUGCUUUUAGCGAAAUCUGGGAAUAACGAAAUAAAACUCGGUGCUGACGCUGCC